UCCUCCUCUUCCCCCCUCCUCCCUUUCACACUCUUCUUUUUCUCCCUUCCCUCCACCUCUCUCUCCUAUCUCCUCCUCUCUUCCUUGUUCUCGUCCCCUGGAGCCUCCUCCAGCACCACUGACUGGGCGCUGGAGUUGCAGGAUAUCGGAGGAUGAGAACAAACUCUUCCUUCGGAGGCGGCCUCUUCUUCCCAUCCAAGUUUUUCUGUUGAGGGACCUCCUGACAAACGUACAGGCUCAGUCUAGUCUAUCAUGCAGGAGGUCCCUUCUUAGCAUUUUUUACUAAUCAUUGUGUGAGUUUCUCUCCCCAGAAGCCUCCUGCCAGCCAACCUUCAGGGAAGAAGGUUCGCAAACCUUCCAUUCCAUUAAAUUUACCCCGUUUUAUAUUAAACAUUUUAGCUACGUGUGAUUUUCUGGAUGUGAUCUGGUCAGAUUUUAUUUGAAUGAAUCUCUUGUGAUUAUGUCUGAUCAGAUCUAUUCCAACUUUAUUUGAAUGAAUUUUCUUCGAUUGUAUUUUGUGUGAUUCUUUGAGCUCGGUUCUUGCCGGUGGGACUCUGGUCAGGGUGCCUGUCAGAGGUGUGGGCGGAUCUGGGGGGAUCUUGGGAAACCUCCUGUGGUCCCCCUCCUCUUACAGUGAAGCUCCGCUCUGUCAGAAGGUGAACAGGAUGCAGACGGCAUGUCACAGAGAAGCGACAUGUGUGUGUCUGUAUCCCACCCUGGACCCACAGUGGAGUCCACAGUGACAAGAUCACAGUUCAGGAGAGUCACACCGGGAUUAAAAGGGGUGGUUAAAUGUGUUAUUUAAGAUAGUAAAUGUAGUGUGAGGGUGAAGCUCUCGCUGGCAGAGGGAAGUUUCCAGAAGAACAGGCACGUAAGGAUCCCUGUGAAUGCUGCUGCAUGAAAAGACCGAUGAUCCCGGGACCCAAGACCAAGACAAGGACGACCCCAAAAGGCGACUUGAAGAUGAGUGACCGAGCCCCAACGGAGAUGAAGCCAGAGGCGACGACCAGCCGGUGAGGAGAAGAAAGAACAACUUUAUCAAGACUUUACUGGAUGCACCGGCUUGUCUGGAUCUGGAGCUGCAUGUUUCCGAUCUGCUGUUAUCGGCCUCAGCAACCUCCAAACUAUUCAUGUUCUUACCAUCCACUCUACCCUCAAUGCAAACAGAGGUUUCUUUUUAUAACUUCCCAGAUGGAGGUUUUUUUCCUCACCCCAAAUGGAGGUUUUUUUAAAACUUCCCAACAACAGGAAGUUUUUUUCCUUCACACUGGUACCACGUGCUUGAUCUGAUCUCACUGCAAAAAGAGAGAUCUUCAAAUAAAAACAAAACAACACAAUAGAACUGUAUGUUUGUUUAAAAAUGUAACCUAAUACACUCUUCCUUUUAGACUUAUUAUUGGAGAGCAUGUUUUAUGGCUAGCAAACUUCAUUCAUCUAAAAAACAUGGUUUCAAACCACUGGUUUCUCACAAACACCUGGACUUCAUCUUAAAACUGCACAGCAUUUGAACCAGGCGUAAACUAACCGUGACAUCACCCGUUGGUUUCAACGCCGAGAAAAUGAAGCCCGGAUUUUGCUACUUCCUGGUCGCCGUUUUGGAUUUUUUGGAGCCAGUGACGUAAAAAGCGUCAUCAAACAGACUGGACCGGAGAGCAACUAGCGGCAGGAUUGGCUGAGGACUCUCUUAUCCCGCCCACAUUUUACCACAGAGGCUUCUGUUGCUGUCCAUCAAGUAUAGCCACGCCCCCUGGCUCCACCAACUUUAACAAUUUAUUUAAAAUUCAGUAUUGAUUUAUUUAAUGAUCUCUCAUUUUGACCAUGAAAACUAAUUGGAAAAAAAUCCUGAGCUGUAGAAAAUCAGUCUAUCAAAUUUUAUUUUUUCCAAAAAUGAAUUGGGGUUUAUGGAGAAAAAGCUUUUUGGAGACAGCCCUAGCGGACGGCGUGAUAUUGCAAGUUUUUGACACUUCCGGGUUGGCUUCAAUUCUGGAGCCAGAUGCUACAUCCACUAUAUAUACAGUCUAUGAUUUGAACAUACUGAUGGCUGUUCAAAUUCUUGGAGUAAAUGCACGAGACAGUAAAUUUGCUAAAUACACAAAUCCUGCAUGAUUAGUAUUAACAGAAUGUACUAAUUUGCACUAAAAACAAAAAAACUAUACUACAAAUUGUGCAGGGUUUCUAUUAUAGUAUUUUGGAUAUGUCCCACAAUGUAUUAUUAUUAUUAUUAUUAUUAUUAUUAUUAUCAUCAUCUGCUGUAAGACUUUAUAACAUCAGCAUCAUUGGCUGAUGUAAACCAGACUGAUAUCAUAUCAAACCAAAAAAAAAUUGCACAGCAUUCUUGCACAGUGGCAUUUUUGCACUUCUGAAUUUAUUUUCAAGUAUUUAUUAGUUUUUAUUUUUCGUCCUUGUACAUAUUGUAAUUACUAUGUUUAUUUCCUGGUUUAAAUAUGCUUGCUGCUGUAAAAAUGUGAAUUUCCCCUGACAUGCUGAAGCUCCAUUGUAUUCCCAGGGUAUAUAAGAGGUCAUUUCAUGUCAUAAGCAGCACUAUACAUGUAAAGGCCUAGAGUGGUUUCCUGCUGACAUUCAAGCUGUAGCACAACUCAGAAGCCAACAGCCAGACCAGGAUGAGCACAAACGUGAGGAAAAAAAAACACCCUUUUCAAAGUCUGCACGCUGACAAUAACUGCAGACCGGAGUGGAAGACCACCUUCAACACCCACCCCACCCACUGUUUCUCAGCCGAAUGACACCAUGUAAAGCUUCAAAUGUUGUGAAAUAAUUGCUGUUCCCCUGUCAGGUUAUGUGGGGGAGUAAAACACUUGUUAGUCUGUUGUGGAAGUCUUGGAGGAGAUUGAAGUGUGUUUAGAUGAGAGCGCCACACUUAAGCUGUAAGUUUUUUGGUAGGAGAUGAACUUUGCUCUGCUUGAUUGAGACCUCAUGAACAGAAACAAGGUUUUAAAAUAAAAACACCUCCCAAAGCA